rnacentral:pre_miRNA from 1 species
UAUAUAUUCCCUCCGUCUGAAAAAGCUUGUCCCUUAAAUGGAUGUAUCUAGCACUAACUUGGUGCUAGAUACAUCCAUUUGAGGGACAAGUUUGGGACAAGCUUUUCCAGACAGAGGGAGUACUUC